CCCUUAGAUGUCCUGGGCCGCACGCGCGCUACACUGAUGCAUUCAACGAGUCUAAAACCUGCUCUGAUAGGGGUGGGUAAUCUUUUGAAUGUGCAUCGUGAUUGGGAUAGAUGAUUGCAAUUUUUCAUCUUCAACGAGGAAUGCCUAGUAAACGCAAGUCAUCCGCUUGCAUUGAUUACGUCCCUGCCCUUUGUACACACCGCCCGUCGCUCCUACCGAUCGAAGAGUUAGGUGAAUUGUUUUGAUCGAUAAGAUUUGACUAUGGUCAACUCUCGUUGUGAAAUUCUGUGAAUCUGACUGUUUAGAGGAAGGAAAAGUCGUAACA
rnacentral:rRNA from 1 species